UACGUAGGGGGCGAGCGUUGUCCGGAUUUAUUGGGCGUAAAGAGCUCGUAGGCGGCUUGGCAAGUCGGGUGUGAAACCUCCAGGCUCAGCCUGGAGACGCCACUCGAGACUGCUAUGGCUAGAGUCCGGUAGGGGACCACGGAAUUCCUGGUGUAGCGGUGAAAUGCGCAGGAUAUCAGGAGGAACACCGGUGGCGAAGGCGGUGGUCUGGGCCGGCACUGACGCUGAGGAGCGAAAGCGUGGGUAGCAAACAGG
rnacentral:rRNA from 1 species